rnacentral:rRNA from 1 species
AUGGCCGGCGGCGGUUUCCUCCUCAACGGCGCCGGCGCGCCGGACUACGGCGGCGCGCUGACCGUCCCCGUCGUGGUGACCUGUCUCAUGGCGGCUUCCGGCGGCCUCAUCUUUGGCUACGACAUUGGCAUCUCAGGCGGUGUGUCGGAGAUGGAGUCUUUCCUGAAGAAGUUCUUCCCGGGCUUACUCAAGACGACGAGGCACGCGAGUAAGGACGUGUACUGCAUGUACAACGACCAGGCGCUCACGGCCUUCACCUCCUCGCUCUACGCCUUCGGCAUGGUGGGGACGCUGGUGGCGAGCCGGGUCACCCGGCGGGUCGGGCGCAAGGCCAUCAUGGUCAUCGGGGGGAGCAUGUUCCUCGUCGGCUCGCUCGUCAACGCCGCCGCGGCCAACCUCGCCAUGCUCAUCGUCGGGCGGAUGAUGCUCGGCCUUGGCCUCGGGUUCUCCGGCCAGGCCACGCCGGUCUACCUCGCCGAGAUGUCGCCCCCGCGGUGGCGCGGCGGGUUCAUCUCCGCGUUCCCUCUGUUCAUCAGCGUCGGGUACCUCGUCGCCAACCUGAUCAACUACGGCACGUCGCGGAUUCCGGAAUGGGGCUGGCGCCUGUCCCUCGGCCUCGCGGCUGUCCCCGCCGCCGUCAUGGUGCUGGGCGCCGUGCUCAUCACGGACACCCCGAGCAGCCUCGUCCUGCGCGGGAAGCACGACCACGCCCGCGCCGCGCUCCAGCGCGUCCGCGGCAAGGGCGUGGACGUCGACGCGGAGUUCAGCGACAUACUCGCCGCCGUGGAGCACGACCGGCGGAACCAGGAGGGCGCGUUCCGGCGGAUCCUGCGGCGGGAGUACCGGCCGUACCUGGUGAUGGCGGUGGCGUUCCCCGUGUUCCUGAACCUCACCGGCGUGACCGUGUCGGCCUUCUUCUCGCCGAUACUCUUCCGGACCAUAGGGUUCGGUAGCGACGCCGCGCUGAUGGGCGCCAUCAUCCUCGGCCUGAUGAACAUCGGCGGCAUCAUCGCCUCGGGGGUCGCCAUGGACCGCUACGGCCGGAAGCUGCUCUUCGCGAUCGGCGGCGCACUCAUGUUCACCUGCCAGGCAUGCAAUGCAUACAACAAAGACCUACGUAUAUAUUCCGGCGUAUGCAUUGCAGCGACACUAAUGACGCGCGCGCGGCCUUGGCUUUUCGUUUGCUUGCAGGUGGCAAUGGCGAGCAUUGCGGGGACGCACCUGGGGCACGGCAGCAAGAUGCCCAAGGGGUACGCGGUGGCCGUGCUGGUUCUCACGUGCGUCUUCUCCGCCAGCUUCAGCUGGUCGUGGGGCGCGCUGUACUGGACCAUCCCCGGCGAGAUAUACCCGGUGGAGGUGCGGUCGGCGGGGCAGGGCACGGCGGUGGCGCUCAACCUGGGCCUCAACUUCGUGCAGGCGCAGUGCUUCCUGGCGAUGCUCUGCAGCCUCAAGUACGGCGUCUUCCUCUUCUACGCGUUCUGGCUCGUCGUCAUGACCGCCUUCGCCAUGGCGUUGGUGCCGGAGACCAAGGGCGUGCCGCUCGACUCCAUGGGCCACGUCUUCGCGCGCCACUGGUACUGGGGCAGGUUCGUCAAGGACCACAAGUUCGGAAAUGAGUCCACCUGA